AGUUCCCAGAUUCACAUUGAAUUUCCAUCAUGGAGCUGGUCCUUGAGGCGGGCCCAGGGCAUGGGAAAGGAGGGAGGGAGGGUUGGGAGCUCUUGGCGCCUGCUUAAAGAGACAGCAUCAGGAUCAAUACAGUCCCUUGAUGAACCUGGAUCUGUGCUUGUUAGAGUGCUGUGCAAGAUGUCUGGUAGGGGCCCCCUUUGCUUCCCUGGUGGCCACUGGAUUGUGUUUCUUUGGGGUGGCACUGUUCUGUGGCUGUGGACAUGAAGCCCUCACUGGCACAGAAAAGCUAAUUGAGACCUAUUUCUCCAAAAACUACCAGGACUAUGAGUAUCUCAUCAAUGUGAUCCAUGCCUUCCAGUAUGUCAUCUAUGGAACUGCCUCUUUCUUCUUCCUUUAUGGGGCCCUCCUGCUGGCUGAGGGCUUCUACACCACCGGCGCAGUCAGGCAGAUCUUUGGCGACUACAAGACCACCAUCUGCGGCAAGGGCCUGAGCGCAACGUUUGUGGGCAUCACCUAUGCCCUGACCGUUGUGUGGCUCCUGGUGUUUGCCUGCUCUGCUGUGCCUGUGUAUAUUUACUUCAACACCUGGACCACCUGCCAGUCUAUUGCCUUCCCCAGCAAGACCUCUGCCAGUAUAGGCAGUCUCUGUGCUGAUGCCAGAAUGUAUGGUG
rnacentral:sRNA from 1 species